GUUCAAUGCUCACCAUCUCCAUCAUAUACAGACAGAGAGAGAAUAUAAGGUUUAAUCAUGAAGACAGUACUUGCUCUAGUUGCCAUCGGACUGCUCCUCUGUUUCCAAGGUGAUGCCAAAAGGUUUCUCUUGGAGGAGGUGACCAAAGGAAAAGCUGGAGUUGACAGUUCUCCUGCUGAUGUUAAGCCAACUGUUAAUGGCAGUCCAUUAACAGGUUCAGCCCCAACAGUUGUAGCAAAUGCCAAGAACGAUAACAACAGUGCUGAAGAUGAUAAGAAUGAGAGUUAUGGAAACUAUGGAAAUCCUUCUGGAUCAUCAACUGAGACUCACCGUAUUUAUACAACUGAUUGCCAACCUGGAAAAAAAUGUCCUUAAGCUUUCUAUGAAGAAGAUGGCAUGAAUUAGUAUGCAUGUAAACUUAGGUAAAAAUAAAGAUGCACGGUGCAUGUGGACAUGCAGUAUGUGUUGUUACGUCUUUGAUGUUCUCUUCCACAAUAUUUAGCAAAUAAGUAAAUCAUGUUUAAUAGUUUUUCAUGGUUGUACACUGCCUGGGUGCCUCCAGGUCCACUACCUUUGUGGUAAUUGUCAGAUAGGAACAAAAACCAUGGCUAGUGCGGUUUGGUGUGCUGUAUAUAUAUAUAUGUAUAACUUGAAGGGCAUAUACAUAUAUUUGCUAUCA